GGCGGCGUAGCUCAGCUGGCUAGAGCGUUCGGUUCAUACCCGAAAGGUCGGGGGGUUCGAUCCCCUCUGCCGCUACCA
rnacentral:tRNA from 2 species